CCCUUAGAUGUCCUGGGCCGCACGCGCGCUACACUGAGUGUCUGAGAUACGAGUCUGCCUGGUCCGGCAAGGUCUAGGUAAUCGCUAAAAGACACAUCAUGCUUGGGAUAGAUUAUUGUAAUUAUUAAUCUUCAACGAGGAAUUCCUAGUAAGUGCGAAUCAUCAGUUCGCGCUGAUUACGUCCCUGCCCUUUGUACACACCGCCCGUCGCUCCUACCGAUUGAGUGGUCCGGUGAAUAACUCGGACUGAGGAUUUAGGCAGUUUCUGUCUUUAUCUUCGGGAAGUCUAGUGAACCUUAUCACUUAGAGGAAGGAGAAGUCGUAACA
rnacentral:rRNA from 1 species